rnacentral:rRNA from 1 species
UACGUAGGGGGCAAGCGUUGUCCGGAAUCAUUGGGCGUAAAGAGCUCGUAGGCGGUUCGUCGCGUCGGCUGUGAAAACCUGGGGCUCAACCUCAGGCCUGCAGUCGAUACGGGCGGACUUGAGUACUGCAGGGGAGACUGGAAUUCCUGGUGUAGCGGUGAAAUGCGCAGAUAUCAGGAGGAACACCGGUGGCGAAGGCGGGUCUCUGGGCAGUAACUGACGCUGAGGAGCGAAAGCGUGGGGAGCGAACAGG